UAGGGAAUUUUCGUCAAUGGGCGCAAGCCUGAACGAGCAAUGCCGCGUGAGCGAAGAAGGUCUUCGGAUCGUAAAACUCUGUUGCGGGGGAAAAAAGGAAGGAAAGAGGAAAUGCUUUUCUUUUUGAUGGUACCCCGCCAGAAAGUCACGGCUAACUACGUGCCAGCAGCCGCGGUAAUACGUAGGUGGCAAGCGUUAUCCGGAAUGAUUGGGCGUAAAGGGUGCGCAGGCUGCGCGUCAAGUCUGAAGUGAAAGGUACGGGCUUAACCGGUACAGGCUUUGGAAACUGGCACGCUAGAGGACAGGAGAGGGCGGUGGAACUCCAUGUGUAGCGGUAAAAUGCGUAGAUAUAUGGAAGAACACCAGUUGCGAAGGCGACCGCCUGGACUGUUGCUGACGCUCAGGCACGAAAGCGUGGGGAGCAAAUAGGAUUAGAUACC
rnacentral:rRNA from 1 species